rnacentral:lncRNA from 1 species
GUCCAUACAGACCUCCAGACCUCUAUGGUUAGCUGGUGGCAAGCUCCAGUCUCUGAACCCCCAGAGACAAGCUUUAUUUGUACAAGCAAGAUAUUACCACAUGCCCAGGAUCAUCUGGAAGAACCUGUGAAAGUGUCCGUGGCAGGAGUGGAAGCAGGGAAAGUGAUAAUUACUCAAAUGCCACAAACCUUACAAACCUUUGCAGGGGAGCUGAGGAGAAACAACUGACUGAAAAUCAGUAAAGGGUCCUAGGAAGCUUGGAGCAUCUGCCUGAGCCUCUCAGCCAGUCAUGUGAAGUCUUAAGUGUCUAUCUUCCAAGUCCCACAUACCUUCAUCUUUCAGAGGUACCACACUUGGGCACCACCUCCGCCAGCAUGUGAGUUUUGGGAGGAUUGGUCAUAUCCAAAUCAUACCAAAGGACUGCAGGAUUGGCAAGACUCCAGAGUCAUGGAAAAAUGGGAAGACCCAACUGGCAAGGAAAGAGAGGGCAUGGUGGUGAGACUCCAGCUACCUGGGAAGGGGUUCGGGACUGUGCUAGAGAAACACAGGCAUUUCCAGGCGGCGCAACCAAGUCCAACAAUCUCAGUGCCAUCCCAGGGAGUCUGCCAGCUGUGGAAUUAUUCUAGAAAAUAUCUUCAUGAUCUUUCCUCAGACCUUCUCAGUUUGGCAGCUAGCCAGUUGCCAAGGUUAGGCUCAGUGUAGCUGGAGUAGUUGGGAUUAGGGAUGAGUCUGAAGACAGGUUUAGCAGUGAGUCUGAAGCCAGUGUUAAGUUUAGUGUGAAGCCACGCUUGAGGUUCAUUCUGUCAUUGGGGUUCAGGUUUGUCAGCACACACUGGUUUCUUAUUAGAUCCCAUUUUUUUCUUACUUACAUGCACGAAGUAGAUCAAAGUUUAACCAGCUGGUCUUUUCUCUGCCGUUUUUCACCUGUCUUUCUUGGUCUCUUCCAGCUGGAUGUCCUCCUCUCUCUGAUCCCCCACCCACGCAUAUAUAGAAGUCUUUCUCUUCAUCUAGCUCCUCACUCCAUUCUCAUAUUUUGAUGGGGAUUGGAGGGAGGCCUCACUAUUACCCCGGGCUAGCCUUCAAUUCGCCAUCCUGCCUCUGCCUCCUGGAUGGUCUCACCCUAUUCUUAUUAGCCGAACCCUCAGGCAAUGGGGAUCUGUCUUGGGCUAUGAGGAAGGGGUCAUAUCAUGAGAGGAGGCAGUAGUGAGGCUGCCAUCAGUUGCAAGAGGCAGCAGGGAUCCCUGUCCCCUUGGCCAUCCCCACAACCAGUGGCCAGUGCUUUCUCCUUUAUCCAUGCCAGGACUGUAGCCUUACUCAGCACCCUGGAAUCCUGGCCCACACAAUACCUGGGCACUUUCGAGGCAGGUAAGUGAAACUUUAAUCCCAGUGUUCCUUUGGUUCCUGAUCCCCCCAGCCACCAUGGUCUCAGCUGGGCCACUCCCUUGCCAUGUCCCCAGCAAGCCACUAAAGGACUUAGCCCAACUCAGACAGCUAGGUGUUGGGUGGAGGGAGUAUGACAGGAGGGACCACAGAGCCAAUAAUGUAUCCUUAUCACUGCCACUUUCCUGGGUGCACACCUUCCUGGCAGUAGGUCUUGGGCUGCCUUCCAGUUUGGCUGUCCUCCUCCUAGCCUUCAUUCAUGCCUUGACACGCAGGAGUUUCAGGAGUUCUCCACAGAUGCAGAGCCCAGCCUGGUUCUAAGGCAACCCAGGGAGGGAGGAACCACAUUCCCUCCUUCAGUUGGCUUCCCUCUUCUCCCUCUCCCUUCCCUCUUCCUUCUCUUCCCCUCCCCUCUCCUCCUCUCCCUCUCCCUUCCCUCUCCUCCCUUCUUUUCCCCUCCCCUCUCCUCCUCUCCCUCUCCCUUCCCUUCCCCCUCUUUUCUCCUUCUGUCUUCCUCUUUAUCCUCAUCUUUCUUUCUCAUCCUCUCUUCCUCCUACAUCCCCCAUCUCCCUCCCUUCUUCCUCAUCUUCUUCCUCCUUCUAGCUUCUUGCCCUUUGUCUCCCCUUAUCUCCUCUUCCUCUUGUAUCUUCUUUCUUAUCUUCCUCUCCCACCUGCUCCUCCUCUCUUGCUCAUCUUCCUCUCACUUUCCCCUUCCUCUCCCUCCUCGCCUUCCCUCACCUCUCUCUCUCUCUCUCUCUCUCUCUCUCUCUCUCUCUCUCUCUCUCUCCCCUUUGGUUUGACCACCCUCCCUGUCUAUUCGGCCUCCCAUCCUCAUCUUCCCUCUACCCAUUUACCAUCAUAUGGUACCAUCUCCAUCUUCAGGUUCACUGCUUCUGUAUCUUCCAUUGCUUGCUCGCAGACCAUCCCCCACCAUCAUCCCAGAGCAGAUUUCCUUCUGAACUCUUUCACAACAGAGACCCGCCACAGAUAUCCACCGAUGAUGAUGACAAUUUGAGAGAAUGGCCCUUCCUUGGUGUCUCUCACCCAAUUAUCUCCCUGUAGGAAAUCUCAUCACUGAAUCACUCCUUGGAGCUCCAGCAACUUAAAAACCACUGCACAUUCUAUGUGCUCUAACUAAGCAGGGACCCACAGAAUGUUAGGUGCUGGGAAUGUAUGAGUAAGACACAUACCUGUCCUCUGAGAGUUCACAGUAGGGGGGAGGUGGGCCCAGAACCCAGAGCUGAAAAGACUGAGUACCAGUUUACUGUAACAGAUCAAGGUAAGUAAUACCAGAGAAUGACUGAGGGUGCAGCCCCCACUCAGCUGUCCGAGACAAAGUCACAAAACUCACCGUGUAGCCGAGAAUGACUUUGAACUUCUGAUCCGACAUUUCCUAAGUGCUAGAAUUACAGGUGAGGUGUGUACCUCCAUACCUGUGUUGUGCUGCACUGGGGAGGCAACCCAGAACUCUGUGGGAGGCAAGCGCUCUACCAGCUCAGCUCCAGCCCUGGUCUGCUCUCUUGAAGAUGAGGAGUUUGUGAUAGAAGAAGCAACUGGUAAGGACUUCUGGGCUCUCUAGAUGAACUGUGUGAUGGUGAGGAAUAGGGUGUCCAUCUCAGGAAAGACAGCUUCAAAGAGGGGACUCCAGAGCCCCAAGCAAUCAGCUUAUGGAGGCCUAAGUGAUGACACUUAAACACAAAGGAGGAAAAGGUGAGAGACUGCUCAGGCCCAGAUAGUAGACUUGGACUUGAACUCUUGGCAGUUAGAGAGCCAUAGCAAUUUCUCCCGCAUGGAAUGAUUGGGCUGCAAAGUGAUUUACCAAAAAGUAAGUCACUACAGUGUACUGCCAGCUUCACUCUCUGAGGACUCUGUAGACGGGCAUUGUCUACACCACAGAUUCCAGCCCCAUUGAAGACCUAAUGCAUCUGAGUACCAUGGAUGCUUGUAGGGUGAGGUUCUUGUGUACAUGCCCAGGGAACCAGGGAAAACAGGACUCGAGGUAGUCACAUAACCUUGUGCUCAAUCCUCCAGUAGCUCCUCGUGCCUUGUGACAUAUUGGAAUCUUCUCCAUGGUCUGUGCCCUGAGUGGUUGCAUCUUGUGUCCCUUAUCAUCUGUUCUCCAGGGGAGGGGACAGUUCUUGGAAGCUUCCAUCCUUGGAGCUUGAACAGGGGCUUCCCUGGGGAGGCCUUCCAGGCUUGGGACAGGGAGGCUUGGUCUUGUCUCUGGGUCACAAUCGGAAGCCUUGACUGCUGGGCAGGCACCCGAGGGUGGGGCACUUGGCAAAUUGGAGCCUAUAAAGCACUUAGCAGCAUGAAGGAUGACAGGGAUAAGGAAUGUAGCACUAAUCCCAUCUCUUGAGUCAGAGGAGGAGCUGGGGAGGGGACAGUCCCUAGGCACUCUAGGACCAACCAGUCCAUCACCUGCACAGGACCCAUCUCAUCUCCAAAAGAUCUGCCUUGUCUGAGCCUGUACCCCAGGGGUUCUAGAGUUCCCCCCUUUCAAGGUAACUCCACUAGGGGGUGACUGGCUUCUUCUACUUUUCUGGACAUAUGGAGACAGCAGCAGGAAUGAGGAGACCUCUGCCUUCAGAAGCAUCUGGAAGGUCUGCAGUCAGUUCUUGGAGAUGUAGCUCGGCGGUAAAGCCUCUGCUUAGCAGGCACCAGACUCUGGGUUUAGUCACUAGCUCUGCAGAUGGAAAUGUUAUUUCUUCUUCCAUCUGGACACGCAUGGUGAUGAGCAACCAAGGGACAGCCUCAAAGCAGCUUGGGCUCAUCAGAUCACAGAGUCACCAUGCAGUGUGAGUCUAGUGCCGUGGAUCUGGGAAUCGGACCUUCCAUGCUUCCUUUAUCUACGGUGGCAGUUUGUGCUGCCCCUCAGGCUGGCAAGUGAUAAAAUGACCAGCUAUGAGCAAACUUUCCCUAGCCCUCAGGUCCCACUGGACAGUAAUAAUGAGGCCAGGAGAGGAAGUGGCAGUCAUAAGCCUCCCUACACUGGCUCUCAGGGGUCUUCACUAACAUUUUUGAUGUCAGUGGUGACCUGGAGCUUCAGAGUUAGGCAGCAGCUGGUAGAAGUAGAGUUUGUCCCUUCCAUGACCCCUAUAGUCACAGCAGUCAAUUGUGGAGGUGAAAAACCUGCUUUUUAUUAUCCAAUCCCAAGCUCUAACUCUAUUUUAUAGAUUCAUUCUUGCCUAAGAUUUACCAGGUAAAUUGAGGGAAAAUAUUCCGUGGUUUCUUUGGUGCUUGGCUGAGAGCCACCUACCACUUCUGAGAGUUUGGGGAAUCUCAGUGGAGAACACACUCCCAGCAGGAGCAACCACAGUCCUCUGGGUCAGUAGCACCUGCUGCCUACCUGGGUGUGGCCCUGCUGACCCUCUGCAGCUGUGACCCAGGUGCCAGUGAAAGCUGCUUCACUGCUCGUGCCUCCUUUAUGUCAGCUAAAGUGUUGUGCUGAUUUUUCUACUAUGUUACACUUGAAUUAGGUUGCAGGAUAAGCAAAGAUGAUGACUCUAAAUGUUAGCAAAAGAGGUUGGAUCUGAGAGGGUCAGCAGCCCGGGCCUACUCUGAGAUCUAUAGCCAGAAGCCAGGAGAAGGGAGGCUCCACCAUCAUUGAGAAGUGGGCCAGAGGAAAAGGGCCAGCAGUGCCCACUGUCAUACGUCCUCAGAGCAUGCCUAGCAAGUGGUAGAAUUAGUUCCAUGGACAUCUCCUCUGAGUGCCUGGGACAAUGAUAUUCGGGACAAAAUUGGGAGUACCCAGCAACAAGAAACUGUAGGUCCAGUGCAAUGCCCUGGUGUCCACACACUUCCGCUGUGCCUACCACCCCCGGGAAUCUGUGUCUUGUAGGCUGCCCUCAGGUCCACAGUUAUCACACAGAUUCUACCACAUUCUGGGAGCAUCCUAUCACUGCUGCUGUUCUCACCCAUCCUCUUAGGAAGCCAGAAAAGCCUGUAGAGUACCUCUUGCAGAGCAAGCUGCCUUGCUGAAGGCCCUGG